GUCCACGCUGUAAACGAUGGGCACUAGGUGUUCGGGGUAUUGACCCCCUGAGUGCCGCAGCUAACGCAUUAAGUGCCCCGCCUGGGGACUACGGCCGCAAGGUUAAAACUCAAAGGAAUUGACGGGGGCCCGCACAAGCGGUGGAGCAUGUGGUUCAAUUCGACGCAACGCGAAGAACCUUACCUGGGUUAGACAACAUCGGACAGCCCCAGAAACGGGGUCUUCCCGUAAGGGACCGGUGGUUCAGGUGCUGCAUGGCUGUCGU
rnacentral:rRNA from 1 species